GAUGAACGCUGGCGGCGUGCCUAAUACAUGCAAGUCGAGCGAACGGACGAGAAGCUUGCUUCUCUGAUGUUAGCGGCGGACGGGUGAGUAACACGUGGAUAACCUACCUAUAAGACUGGGAUAACUUCGGGAAACCGGAGCUAAUACCGGAUAAUAUUUUGAACCGCGUGGUUCAAAAGUGAAAGACGGUCUUGCUGUCACUUAUAGAUGGAUCCGCGCUGCAUUAGCUAGUUGGUAAGGUAACGGCUUACCAAGGCAACGAUGCAUAGCCGACCUGAGAGGGUGAUCGGCCACACUGGAACUGAGACACGGUCCAGACUCCUACGGGAGGCAGCAGUAGGGAAUCUUCCGCAAUGGGCGAAAGCCUGACGGAGCUACGCCGCGUGAGUGAUGAAGGUCUUCGGAUCGUAAAACUCUGUUAUUAGGGAAGAACAUAUGUGUAAGUAACUGUGCACAUCUUGACGGUACCUAAUCAGAAAGCCACGGCUAACUACGU
rnacentral:rRNA from 1 species